ACACCACGAUAUUCCCCCGAGGGGGGGGGUGCACCGUUCCUGGAAGUACUGCAAUACCAGGUCGAUGCGUGGAGUGGACGGAGCAAGCUCCUAUUCCACCUCCCUACUCCAAAAACCCAUUUAAUAUAUUGUCCUCAGAUAGAGGACGUAUCAGAUAUUAAACUGAUAAGAACAGAUACUACACUUGAUCUUAGCCAAAAGGCCGAGAAGCGAUACCUCUCCACCGCCCCCGCCCGGCCACCGUCCUCCCAUCUGCCAUAUUCAACUCACGGUGACAGCCCAGACCCUCACUCCUCGCCGGACUGCCUCUACGCCGUCCACGGUCCCACCCACCUCCCCAGACGCUUUUGGGCAGAGGCUUCCUUCUCCCUCCCUCCCAACCAGAAAUCCCGUAUCCCUGGCGGCCGCGGCCCU